AAAGAAUGAAAAAAGGCCAGGCGAAGCUGCAUAAAUUGGGGGCCGCUUCAAAGUACACGCCAACGCCAUCAGCCAAACGUGUUUUGAAGAGAUGCAACACCGCAGAGAAUGAUUCUUCUUUUGUGGUGUGGGAAAUGUUCCCUGACAAGGAGGACCAUUCAGUGGAAAGUGGGGAAGAAGAGGACUAUUAUUUUAUGGAUGAUGACUGAGCUGCAGAUUUAUGGGUCUCUUUACUCCAAGCAGGCCGAAAAGGGGAGGGACAUAUCUGAGUUUGUCUAAUAAGAAACGCUAGUUUUUGUUGCAAAACAUUUAGCUAUGGUUUGUACUUAUACACCCUGUUUGGAUGAUUACGUUUUAAAACAGGAA